rnacentral:rRNA from 1 species
CGAACGCUAGCGGCGGGCUUAACACAUGCAAGUCGAACGAAAUCUUCGGAUUUAGUGGCGGACGGGUGAGUAACACGUAGGUAACCUGCCUUUCAGUAAGGGAUAACUUGAGGAAACCCAAGCUAAUACCUUAUACGAUCUUCGGAUGAAAGUCUUCGGACGCUGAGAGAGGGGCCUGCGCGGUAUUAGAUUGUUGGUGGGGUAACGGCCUACCAAGUCGACGAUAUCUAGCUGGUCUGAGAGGAUGAUCAGCCACACUGGAACUGAGACACGGUCCAGACUCCUACGGGGGGCAGCAGUGGGGAAUAUUGGACAAUGGGGGAAACCCUGAUCCAGCCACGCCGCGUGAGUGAUGAAGGCCCUCGGGUUGUAAAACUCUGUCGUGAGUGAGGAACGUGACGUUAACUCACAAG